GGUAGUCCAGUAAUGGUUCGAAGUGAUUCUCAACAAGGCUGAGGACUCAACAUGUUAUAGAGCAAGCUUUUUAACUGGUGAUGAUGCUAAUUCAGUUGGCUUGAUUAAGCUGCUAGGCUGUGGAAGUCUGCUCAAGUUGUUUGAAGAAAUAUGCUCAAAUGCCUUUUGGUUGUGGAGGCUGCUUAGUUAGGGACUUGCUGCUUAUAUUUUACUUUUUCGAAUCUGUGUAAUUGAUUCUUUACUAAAGAUUUGUAAGUUGAUUUUUCUGAUCCGA
rnacentral:misc_RNA from 1 species